rnacentral:rRNA from 1 species
UACAGAGGUCUCGAGCGUUGUUCGGAUUCAUUGGGCGUAAAGGGUGCGUAGGUGGCGCUGUAAGUCGGGUGUGAAAUCCUGAGGCUUAACCUCGGAACUGCAUUCGAUACUGCGGCGCUUGAGGACUGGAGAGGAGACUGGAAUUCAUGGUGUAGCAGUGAAAUGCGUAGAGAUCAUGAGGAAGACCAGUGGCGAAGGCGGGUCUCUGGACAGUUCCCGACACUGAGGCACGAAGGCCAGGGGAGCAAACGGG